AUGACGAUCACGCAUCCAGCUACAACCCUUGACUCUAACUGGACUGAGCUCCAGGUUCAUGUCAAGGUCAAAGCAGGUGCUAUGUCAUUAGGACAAACUCCAUCAACAGAUCCUGGGGUCAAAGGUCAGAGUGAGGGCCCUCGUGUUCAGGUCAUACACCUUCUGCUGCUUGUGUGCACUGUCACUUGGAGCUUUUCCUGUUUGUCUGCUGCUGUCAAACCUUGGCUCACGGGGGCAGUUUUACAGGCUGGAGCAGCUGCAGGAAACAUCUUUCCAGUGAACGGCUGUUUGGCUGCAGGUUAUAAAAGACUGCAGAGAGAAAGCGAAGCUCAGGCUGGUUCCGGCUCUGCAGCGUCCACCUCCUCUGAUCCAACAACAACGACACAAAGGUACCAACCAACAUUUCUAAUGUUUGCUUCUGAGGCCAAAGCUGUGAUAAAACAAUUGGCAGCACACGGAGACCUGAUCUCUAACUCCAACCUGAACGACCGACUGGACUUGCUCAAACUGGUGCGGGUCACUGAGGGACGAUUAUGGCCCGUUCCCAAGUAUAAGACCAUGGAGCUCUCUCUGCCAGAGCUGAUGGACGACUCUGACUUCUCUCCAGGUUUUGAGGAGGAGGUGCUGAUGAAGGAGUUUACCACAAGAGUAGAGAUGUGUGGCAGCAGUAGUGUUGGAGGAGGAGACGGUGCCGUGGGCGAAGCUGAAGUCAGUGCGAGCGCAGACACUGUGGACGGGCUGGAGACUCCGGUCAGCAUGAUGUCCAAGAAGGUGAAGCUCAGAUCUGUGAGGGACUGGUUCGGCAGCAGGAAAAUCAAAAAGAACAAGGUGCAAAUGCUGAGGCUGAAGGAAAGAGACAAGCUGAUGUUUGUCCACCAGACGGUCUACAACACCGGCCCCGUCAGGCUCCACAGGAAGUCCAAGAUGGACGGCUCUGUGUCUGCCUCCUGCCAAAAGCUGCUCAACCUGUUUAUGAAGGGUAGCUGGAAGGAGGAGACAAGCUUCACUGUGCCAGAAAAAUCAACUUUUGCCUAUGGGCUCAUGGAGAUAAGAGGUGUUCAAGAAGAGAAGCUUGAAAUCUCAUGUGAACCCUGGAUGAAUCAAAGUAUGUUUGACAGGCUCAUCAACAGCGAUACCUCAUCAGACAACAGUGCAAACUCUUCUGUGAGCCUGCAACAAGUGAAAGACGGUCUGGAGAUGAAAGUAGCUGCACUGCAGCCGCUGGCAGAUGUUCAUAACUCAACCCAAUGUGAACUCUUGCAAACACUGAGAGAGCUGCUGAAGAACAGAGAAGCUCUCACACAGCUGGAGCAAAUGUUGGAUCAGAGCAGUGCGGGAGCAUAUGAAGGUCCUCAGUCUCAGGCUGUCUCCUCCUUCCUGAAUGCUCUCAAUGUAUCCACCACCUCCACAGCUCAGAAAGAUGCUGUGCACCUGCUGGUCAGCGCCUUAGACACUCUGCCGGAUGAUGCUCCUGCUCUUCUGAUCGCCAGUGGUCCCGAUGUCCUGAGAGCCCUCAACCAGCUGGUGGAUGGGCUGCAGGUGGACGGUCAGAACCAGCUGGCAGAGCCACUGCCCCCUGCCCUGAAGGAGGACGGGGAGCUCCGCUGGGCGGCCCAGCUCCUCUGUUCCAGCCCCCAGACACUGACAGAGCUAAGUGAGCACUGGGAGAGACCAGAGCUCCCAGUAGGAGUCCUGCUGGAAGUGCUGGCUCUGGUCGUACGCGGACUGGGCCUGAUGCAGAACCUGCUGAGCAGCGGGACAGACCAGAGCUCCCAGUAGGAGUCCUGCUGGAGGUGCUGGCUCUGGUUGUACACGGAGUGGGCCUGAUAAAGAACCUGGUUUAGUCUUUCCAGUAGAAGGACACGUGUGUUUUCCGUUUUUUUCUGAAUUUCUGUUGUUACAGCUACAGAACAAAUUCCUGAUUUGAUCCUUUUUUUAUAUUAUGUAGUUCUUUUUGUUUUAUUGACCUCUGUUGUCACAGCUGUUAUUUGGCCUAAAUGAAAUUCUCAACAGACAUUUUUGGCUUCUUUCAUCUUUCUGGCUCUUUGUUAGUAACAGCUUUCGUUGUUGAUGUAAUCUCGUCCUGUGGAGAAAACAAGGUUUCAUGCUAACCUGUAAUGUCUGCUGUUCACUGGGACGAUCGUACCUCUGAGAUUUAUGUCCACGCAGUUCUCUCUGGUUCUACCAUUGGGAUGAGUCGUACCCAUCUCACCGACACAAACCUUUCACCGCUGAUUCCUAGCCACUUACCCUUCUGAAGAAAAACUGGGUCAGCACUAGUGCAACAGCAACCAAACAGCAGACAAAGACUGAGACACUCUUGCAUCGGCGCUUCCUCCCCAGGAGUUGGUGUGUCAGUUAGUGGCUCUGACAAUGAGCUGUCUGAUGAAGUGGUUGUCACAGUCCAGGUCAUUUAGCCACUGCACUCAAUCAUUUCCGGUUUUAUUUUGUACCACUUCCUGUUUAGUGCCCAUGUUUUCUGUUCCAGCUUUACCUCCGGUUUUAGUUUGACGCACCUGUGCCCUGUUACUAAUUGCUCACCUGCUAACUAUCCAGCCGUCAUCUCCAUUUAGUAUUUAAGCACCACCCCUCAGCCCUGCACCUUGCCAGAUUGUCUUUGUGUAUGAAUCAGCAAUCCAGCGUUAUCCUCAUGAUCUUGAACCUGUGUAUGACCUCGCUUCUCCUGACCCAGAUUCUCGUCUCAUCUCUGAUCCUGCCGUGCCGUGAGUUUGACCCUAGCCUGCCUUGACCACCGCUUGUCUAAACCCUGUCUGUACUGAACCUGCCUGAUCUGUGUAUCGACCCUUGCCUGCCUGACCACGAGCGUGAAUAAACCCUGUUGUUCACUGAGCCUUGUCUCCGCU
ensembl:lncRNA uncharacterized LOC114867442